CGAACGGGUGAGUAACACGUGGGCAACCUGCCCAAAAGAGGGGGAUAACACUUGGAAAACAGGUGCUAAUACCGCAUAACCAUAGUUACCGCAUGGUAACUAUGUAAAAGGUGGCUAUGCUACCGCUUUUGGAUGGGCCCGCGGCGCAUUAGCUAGUUGGUGGGGUAAAGGCUUACCAGGGCAAUGAUGCGUAGCCGAACUGAGAGGUUGAUCGGCCACAUUGGGACUGAGACACGGCCCAAACUCCUACGGGAGGCAGCAG
rnacentral:rRNA from 1 species